AUAUUAUCAAAAUGUUUCCAUUUUAAUAAAUGGUAAAUAAGUUUUUAAUGAAAUCUUUUGUCGUUACAUGAUUCCUGAAACCAUUAUGACACGAAAGAGUAGCAUUCCCGCUUUCGUUGGUCCGGUUGAAAAUCGGGGCGACAGCAAGAGAGGACGGAGAUUAUCUCACAAAUAUUUGAGAGCAAUUAGAUGUUUGCUCGUCUGUUACCGUGUUUACAUUGUUCUUCGUAUCUAGACCGCAGACGUGUUUGUAACCGUGCACGAUGUACACCAAGUUCUCCAUGGAUAUUUCAUUUAAAUUUUCUUUCAUUUAUUCGUAUAUUCGUAUAAUUGAUCAAUUUAUAAUAUAUUAUAAAAUUUAAUUAAUAAUUAAUUAAUUAAUUAUGUCAUCAAUAAUUAAAUUAUUAAUCAUUAUAUUGAAUUUAUAUUUUUUAUAUUAUAAAAUUUCUUAACAAGAAAAAUUCGGCUCAAGAAGAAAUUCAAAACAUCUUCAAAACAUUAACGAAAAAUUCUACAGGAUGUACAACAAACAGUGAAAUACUAUUGUUGCUAUUAUUAGUCGGUGGAGAAGUUGGAUUGCUGGAAUUGCUCAUUUCGCUUCCGCUAAUGGUGUUUGGCGGGCUUGUUUCUCCAGCUCCAACUCCUGUGUUUGGUUCAUCGCCGGUCCAAUCUGUCACUCCGCUUAUUUGCGACUGUUGGUAUACCGGCUGAUGAUGUUGGUAUUGGAGGUGUGUGUACGCGUGAGCAUGAUGUGACCAGCUCGGUAGAACUUCCGCAGGAUCUAAGUACUGCUGUCCAGCAGCCUGGUGGUGUACUCCGUGCGGAUGUCCAUGGUACCCGUACCAGUAUUGUUGGCCACCGUCGGCAACAGAUGAACUACUCGCGUGCUGUUGCGUCUGUUGCACUUGAGUUUGUUGCAUCUGUUGUGCUAAUGGUUGUUGGCCAACAAUCUGUUGUUGCUGCCGGUACAUCGCGAAUGGAGUGUAGUAAGACAUCAUACCGAGCCCGCUGAUGUCCGCCAUUGAGCGAAAGGACUGUUCUCCGAAGUGGACUGAUGCACUCACGGAUCUUCGGGGUACACUGCACAGAACGAAAGGAAACGGCCAUCAACUAGAUGACCGUUGAGCACCCGCGAUCUUAUUGAGAUGUUGGUUACGACUGCUUUCUGAUUUGUGUCCAUCGAAGGAUCCAACGUCUUUACUUAAGUAACAAAGUCCGCCUACAGCGUGCUUUUAUCCCCACCGCGCGGUCACUUUUCCGCCAAUCGUCAUUCAGUUCUCCACUCUCCAACCGUAAUGGCCGUUCGACCAUCGUCCCAACGCCCAAACAUGCCGCUAUUCGAUAAAAUACGCGCGGAAGGCGGUCCUUACGCCUCCGAAAACGCGAUUCCCAUGUAAAAGAUGCGAAAUAGACAAUAUUUUUCCCGCUUAUCGCACUUUACCAGCACUUGUCCACGUUAUGAAAAUAUAUCUUUCGUCUUUGUGUGUUUACAUGACCUCUACUUCUAGUGGGAGAAUUCUUUUAAUUGGAUGCAUGCAAAAAAGUUAAAAUUGUUAGAUUUGACUUUCAUGAUAUUAUUUUGAUAGUAUAAUUAAUAUAGUAUAAUUUAAUAUUUUUAAUCAUUUUUUUACACUUUGCUUUCCCCAAUAAUGUUUUCUUAGAAAUUUUUUAAUAUUUUUAAUUUUUAACAUAAAUAAUUUAAUGUUUUUAAUUUUUGAGUUAGUUUUUUUAAUUGUACAUAUAAAUAUAUACAACAAAAUUAUUACCAUGAAAGUUUGUUAUUAUGUAGUUAUAUUACAAUUAGUUUUACUUAAACAUCAUAUAAAUUAAAUAAUAUCAUGGUUAUAACUAUUUUUAAAGAAUCAUAAUUAUCAUAAUCAUAAUCAUAAUUAACAAUAUUUUUAUUCAUUUUUAUUGAAAAUGAAAAAUACAAUCAAAUACAAAAUCAAUUCCAUGCAAAAAAUAAUAGAAAAAACUAAAUUUAUAGCAUUCUAAAUUUUAAUUUUAUUUGACUUUUAUGAAUUUAAAUAUUUUAAAAUUUAAAUGAUAAAUAAUUAUUUUAUUACAGUAAAUAUUAUAAUUAUGAACGAUAAUAUUGUAUUGUUAUACUAUUUUAUUUAAUAUUACAUGUAAAUAAGUAUAUUUAGACAAUUGAUGUAUAUUUUUAUAGAGUUAUAUAUAUUGAUGUAUGGAUGGGAAUCGCGUUCGUUGCACCAAGCCAACAAA